CUGUUCUGCAUCUAGACUAGUCCCAGGGGGCUCUCCUGUGAGCCAGCCUGGCCAAUGCUGGUCCCUAAGCUCCCAUUUGACAAAGGAGAACAUGAUGUGGUGGUUGGAAUAGACCUCACAGGAAGAGGGGUGUGGUCCCUUAGUGAGAGAACAUGAAGAGAUUGUGAUGAUAUUAAACAUUUCAGCUGUGCCUACUACAGCCAGGCCUUAUUCUAAAUGCUUUAACCCAUGUGGUUAUUCUUCAAAACUCUGUAUCUGCUCCAUAAGGUCUGCUUUAUAGGUUAAAAGAUCUAGAGAACUCUCUGGUUUAGAACUCUGAGCCAAGAUUACCAUCUACAAAGAUCUUUGGAGACCAAUAAAUCGUUAGGCUAAUUUGGAAAGCCACAGAAAAUGUUUUAUUUUAAUUAUGUUU